rnacentral:rRNA from 1 species
GACGAACGCUGGCGGCGUGCUUAACACAUGCAAGUCGAACGGGGGACUCCGCGUUCGGGGGGAUCAGUGGCGAACGGGUGGGUAACACGUGGGCAACGUACCCUCAGCUCUGGGGGAACUCCAAGAAGGUGGGGCUAGUACCUAAUAUGACCGCUGACCGCAUGGUCUGGUGGUGGGAGGAUUUAUCGGCUGGGGAUGGGGCCGCCGCCUAUCAGCUUUUUGUUGGGGUAGUGGCCUACCAAGGCGACGACGGGUAGCCGGCCUGGGAGGGUGACCGGCCACACUGGGACUGAACUACGGCACGGCCCCCUCCGGGAGGCAGCAGUGGGGAAUAUUGCGCAGCGGGCGGAAGCCUGACGCAGCGACGCCGCGCGGGGGAUGACGGCCUUCGGGUUGUAAACCUCUUUCCGCAGGGACGAAGCGAAAGUGACGGUACCUGAAGAAGAAGCACCGGCCAACUACGUG